CAGUAGCCGCGGUAAUACAGAGGGUGCGAGCGUUAAUCGGAUUUACUGGGCGUAAAGCGUGCGUAGGCGGCUUCUUAAGUCGGAUGUGAAAUCCCUGAGCUUAACUUAGGAAUUGCAUUCGAUACUGGGAAGCUAGAGUAUGGGAGAGGAUGGUAGAAUUCCAGGUGUAGCGGUGAAAUGCGUAGAGAUCUGGAGGAAUACCGAUGGCGAAGGCAGCCAUCUGGCCUAAUACUGACGCUGAGGCACGAAAGCGUGGGGAGCAAACAGGAUUAGAGACCCCCGUAGUCCCUGUCUCUUAUAU
rnacentral:rRNA from 1 species